rnacentral:lncRNA from 1 species
GGAAUGAAUAUGUGACCAAGGGUCAAACUGUGCAACAAGUUCAGAAUUCAGUGGGUGCGCUAGCAAAGGCUGUCUAUGAGAAGAUGUUCUUGUGGAUGGUUGUUCGCAUCAACCAACAGCUGGAUACCAAACAACCCAGACAGUACUUCAUUGGUGUUCUGGACAUUGCUGGCUUUGAGAUCUUUGAUUUCAAUAGCUUCGAGCAGCUCUGCAUCAACUUCACAAAUGAGAAACUGCAACAGUUCUUCAACCACCACAUGUUUGUGCUGGAGCAGGAGGAGUACAAGAAAGAGGGAAUUGAAUGGACAUUCAUUGACUUUGGGAUGGACCUGGCUGCCUGCAUUGAGCUUAUUGAGAAGCCCAUGGGCAUCUUCUCCAUCCUGGAAGAGGAGUGCAUGUUCCCCAAGGCAACUGACACCUCUUUCAAGAACAAGCUCUAU